rnacentral:sRNA from 1 species
AGAUUUCAUCAUUUCCUGUUGUUUAAAAAAAAUUAUAAUCUCAUACGUGUUAGUCCACAGCUUCGGAAUUAAAACAAGGUUCGCUCUGUUUUAGGACUGAGUUUCGACGUUUCUCCUGUAGACUGGGUUCUUCUUCUUUCUCUGUUCUUCGUGCUCUGUCUGCAGGUGGAAGACGAGUCUGUGCUGGGUUUUUCGUCUGGGCUUCUGAGCUCUCUGCUUUGUUUCUUUUUGGAUUCAAGGUUUUUCUUGUUUUAUUUUCGGGCAUGUGUGCUUGGUUGGCCCUAGUGGCUUUGUAUGUUUUCAGGGCCUAUAUGUCCUUUUGGGCUUUUGGCCUUGUAAUGUUUUAAUGGAAAUAUAAAAUUUUAAAAA